AGUCGAACGGAUCCUUCGGGAUUAGUGGCGCACGGGUGCGGAACACGUGGGAAUGUACCUCUUGGUAAGGGAUAACGUCUGGAAACGGACACUAAUACCUUAUAAUGACUUCGGUCCAAAGAUUUAUCGCCAAGAGAUCAGCCCGCGCCUGAUUAGUUUGUUGGUGAGGUAAUGGCUCACCAAGACUACGAUCAGUAGGGGGUCUGAGAGGAUGAUCCCCCACACUGGGACUGAGACACGGCCCAGACUCC
rnacentral:rRNA from 1 species